CCCAGUGUUUUUCUUGCAGUCACUCCCCUUCCUGAUUUUCUGGUAGGCCUCUUAGAUGAAUUUUUUACCUCCUGUCCCUGUCUGAUUGUUCCUCCAACUUCAUAGCAAAAUCUUCUGUCAUUUGUAAGAGCUGGAUCUCAGACUGGUUAGUUAGAGCAAGAUUGUGUGCAUCAUUUUAUGUUUUAGAAAUAUCAGGCACAUAUCAAAUUUCUGCACAAGUGAAGUUGGGGCUGCUCUCCAGUCCAAGGCCAGUGCCUACCUUAUUUUAUUAAUGUAAUCAUCUGACUCUCUGGCCUCUUCCAUUACAGCAGCUGCUUUCUUGCCUUUUGGGGCCUUCAUGAAGCCUCAUACAGAGCUCCCUCUAUUUCUUUCUGAAGCACUAAUCUUGCAGAUUUCCUUUUUGGUCCCCGUAUUUCUUGAAACAUCUCCAUGCUGAGGCUGUAUAAAACUUUUUGAUUAGAUGUCAGUAGGAUCCACUCUGAUUAGAAUUUGUUCCAGGGCGAUUGGAGAUACAGAAAUAUCCCUCUAUUUAGCUUUCCUGCUAGCCACCCCUCCCCCAGCUUUUUCUACAGAUGGAGGCUUCUCAUACAAUUUAGAUCCCUAUCUUCUCAGGUUCCAAACCAUGUAGGGAACCUGUACAAUUGCAACAGGUUCCAUCAUCUUUAUCAAGGGUGGGAAACUGGACUGAGCAGGUGGGCUAGCUCUAAAACUUUGCCACCCCCUGUGGGCCAUUUUAACAGGUGGACUGUGCAACAACAUUAUAUGGCAUCAAACAAUUUAGCCUGUGAAGAAUUGGGAGCAAGUUCCUAUUUUCUUCCACUCUUUCCUUGCAGGUGUGGCCUGCUUCAAUUCAAGUUGCAUUGAACAAGCUUCCUUUGUAGGCUUAGCUCAGGUUCAUUUCUGCAUUUCUGAUUGUUCUUGUUCAGUUUGGCCCCUUAUUGUAUUGCCUUUUAGCUUUCUCCUGUCCAGUUUCCUUUUACUCCUGGGGUGGAGCAAUAGCUCAGUUGUAGAGCAUCUGUUUUGUGCACAGAAGGUUUCAGGUUAAAUUUCCUAUCUCCAUAUUGGGCUGGGAAAAGCUCCCAUCUAGACCAAGGUUCUGACUUCGUAUAAGGCAACCUCCUGUUUCUAUGUUCAUCCUCCACUGGAUCAUCAAUGCAAAUGGGCUGUGCAAGCAAAGAGGACAGAUCUGAGCACCAACGAGCUCACAUUUCACCACUAUGAAUCUCUACCACUGAAGUUGUCUCACCUCGAGUAGCAGCAACUUUCCAUUUGCUUCAGUGAAUCAUGUGCUACCUCAUAAUGUGGAAAGCAGCAAACAUCAACAAGACACAUGACAAGCUUGGUGAGUCAACCAAAGUGAGCGCAUCUGUCAACAAGGGGCAGGUGGCCAGCUCUUUUCCUCAAGGGAAAGAUGGCUGAAUAAAUAACACAGCAAAGGUAAAGCAGAUCCCAUCAAGCUCCCUUGCCAAAUUCAAUCAGGUCAGGUGAGCUCUGAACACACAGAUCCAAAAAUUAAAAGUUUACUGUGCCAAACAUGCUGCUUGAAUACAAAAUUCCCCCUUGUAAAGGGCAGGAGGGGAAGACAUUAUAACUAAGUAUUUAUAAACUACUUGAAUAAAAGAACUGAGGGGAUGCUCAUCAAAUUUGCAGAUGGCACCAAACUGGAAAGGGUAGCUAAUGCCACAGAAGACAGAAUCAAAAUUCAAAAUAAUUGGAUAACUGGGCCCAAGCUAACAAAAUGAAUUUCAAUAGGGACAAAGGUCAAUUAUCUAAUUUCUGUGGUUAACAAAUAUAGUUCUUCAUGUCCAUUUAUUAUAUAACAGAUAUUUCUAAGAUGAGAUACACAAUGAUACCAUUUAAGCUGGGAUAUCCCUCUGUCAGUAGGGGUAAAUAAUACAAUAUCGUGUAGUUGUGAUCAAUUAUCUUGAUGAAUAAAUUAUAUAAUAAGCUUUUGUCACCUAAUAAUGGUCUAGUCUGGAUAGGAAUAGUUUGAAAAGAAGCAAAAUUUUCUGAAGUAACAUUUUAACUGUUGAAAUAUGACCCCAUCAAGUCAUAUAUAGGUUUUUCCAAAUUCUCAUGUUAGUUUUGAAGUCUGUGAUUAUUGGUUUAUAAUUUAUUCCAGCUUUGACAUUUGUGUGUGUAUGUAUACACACACACACACACACACACACACACACACUUAAAUAAUGAAUGUGCAUAUUACACAGUUUAAGAACUGAGAAUUUCUGAAGACCAUGUAUUAAUUCUGGAGGCGUUUGAAUGCAAAACUAUUCUGAUUUUCCAUAAUUCACUUUAAAUCCAGAUACCGAGUUAAAUUGGGAUUAUUCUUGCAUGAUGGCCAGAAUUAAAAUUUGAGGAUAUGGUGUUAUCAUUGUAUUGUCAUCUGCAAAGAAGUUCAAUAUACCGUAUUUUUCGUCCCAUAGGACGCUCCGUCCCAUAGGACACACCUAGUUUUUUGGGGGGGAAAUAAAGGAAAUUUCCCCCCCUUUAUUUCCCCCCCAAAACCAGGUCGGGGAAACCGAACCAGGUCAAGGAACAGCAGGAUGGCGGUGCUGCGCCUCCUUGCUGUCCCCCGAGCUUGUGGGGCUGGCAGAUGUCUGCCCGGCGUGAGGGGCGCUCUGCUUCAAGGCACCCCUCGCGCCGGGCGGCAGGUUGCUAUCCGCAGCGUAGGGAGCCCUGCGGGAACUCCCGCAGGGCUCCCCACGCUGAGGAUGUCUGCCCAGCGGGCGGGGCGCUCUGCUUCAGGGUGCCACUCGUACCGGGCGGCAGGCUGCUACCUGCAGCGUAGUGAGCCCUGCGGGAACUCCUGCGGGGCUGCCUAGGCUGCGGAUGUGUUCCCGAAGUGCCGGGCGCUCUGCUUUCAGCGCGCCCGGCGCUCUGGGAAGCAGGCUGCUAUCUGCAGCCUAGACAGCCCUGCGGGAACUCCCACAGGGCUACCUAGGCUGCAGAUGUGCUCCCGAAGCACCGGGCGCUCUGCUUCAGGGUGUCCUUCGCGCCGGGCGGCAGGCUGCUAUCCGCAGCGUAGGGAGCCCUGCGGGAACUCCCGCGGGGCUGCCUUGGCUGCGGAUGUGUUCCCGAAGCGCCGGGCGCUCUGCUUUCAGCGCGCCCAGCGCUCUGGGAAGCAGGCUGCUGUCCGCAGGGCUGCCUAGGCUGCAGGUGUGCUCCCGAAGCGCCGGGUGCUCUGCUUUCAGCGCGCCCAGCGCUCUGGGAAGCAGGCUGCUGUCCGCAGGGCUGCCUAGGCUGCAGGUGUGCUCCCGAAGCGCCGGGUGCUCUGCUUUCAGCGCGCCCAGCGCUCUGGGAAGCAGGCUGCUAUCCGCAGGGCUGCCUAGGCUGCAGAUGUGCUCCCGAAGCGCCAGGUGCUCUGCUUUCAGCGCACCCGACGCUCCAGGAAGCAGGCUGCUAUCCCACAGGAACUCCUGCAGGGCUGCCUAGGCUGCGGAUGUGUUCCUGAAGCCUGGAGAGCGAGAGGGGUCGGUGCGCACUGACCCCUUUCGCUCUCCAAGCUUCAGCGAAAGCCUGCAUUUGCCCCAUAGGACGCACCCAGAUUUCCCCUUCAUUUUUGGAGGGGAAAAAUUGCGUCCUAUAGGGCGAAAAAUACGGUAUAUCGUUCACCACGAACUGUUAUUUCCAAAAUGGAUGGAUUCUGUUGGAGUGCUAGGGCCAUUGAUUCCAUGACUACAACAAAAAGCAGAAGGGAUGGAGGGUAAUCUUGCUUUGUGCCCUGGCAGAUGAGGAAAACCCCCAAAGUAUCUUCAAUUUACCUGUAUGUUUGCAUGGGUAGAAUCAUGCAGUCUUUUUAUCAAAUUGACAAAGGGGGAAUCAUAUCCUGAAUCUGGUCAAUGCAGCAAACAAAAAAGGCUGGUUAAAUCAAUCAAAAGCUUUAGUGAUGUCUACUUUGAAUAUUUCAGUAGAAUUUGGUUGGGCAUAGGCCAUGAAUAAUAUUUAGUAUGUGCCUGAUGGGAAUAAUGAUAUACAUAUCUAUGGUGAAUAUAUAAUAUAUGGUCUUUAUUAAUGUAAUUUGGUUCAAUUCAUGUUUUAUCAGGAUUUUUUGCAUCCACAUUUAUCAAUAAAAUGGGUCAGUAAGAGUUGGUUAGUGUGAUGGGAUGAUGAGCUGCUUGUGCGUAAAAUAGUAUCCCCUCAGAGUUUGUUCAAGUCCACAAACCUCUGUCUGUGACGGAGCCCCUCAGACAUGGCUCCUCUAGUCACUAGCAGAUUCCGACAGUGGUUGCUUCGGAAUCGCUUCCAACAUAAAAGCUCCUUAACGGAAACACGUCUUCUGGACUCUCUGCGUGACAGUUUCCGGCGAGGAGUGGGUGUUCCUACAGGAGGUCCUGAAACCUCCCCACUGUUUUCGCUGGAAGUGUCUCUGAGCCAUCCCUCCAGCUCACUUUCCCUCAACUCAGCUCCUCUCCCCCUACUGGUUCCCUCUUCAGCUGCUGAGUCUCUCCCAACCUGUGUGAGCCCUUUCACCUCCCUUCCUUCCGAUGGCAGUUCCCUGACAUCCACCUCCCCUCCAGGGCCCCUUUCACCCCCUCUCGCCCCUUCCUCUACGGGCGGUGAGGAGGCAAAACCCCGGACUGAACAUACUUCCUCUUCCGAUGUCUAUAACACUUAUCUACACCAGAUGAGGUUCCUGGUCUCGAAGAACUACACCUCCACCGAGUCCAACUCCCCUUCCCCUUCUGAGUCCGGGAAUCCUUCCAACUCCUCCUCCUCAUCAGUGGUCCCAAAGUAUUCCCUCCGGAACCUCUCCACAGGCUGAGGUUUCCUUGGGAACCUUUGAUGGAACGUUUCUAUCAAUACCUCGUCAUUGAUAUCUUCGGCCAUUACCCAAGUGUUUUCUGACCCGGUUCUCCUUCCCACGCUACCAAAUACUCCACCUGAUCCCCCUUCCACCUGGCGUCGAGGAUUUCUGCCACAUGGCUGCUGCAUUCUCUUUCUUCUAUGACCGGUCCCCGAGUGGCCAUCCCUUCUCGUCCCCCUUCGUACGGUGACAGUAACGACCUGUGAAAUACUGGGUGCAGUUUCAUGUGGUUGGGUAACCGGAGCCUGAAAGCCACUGGGUUGACCUGUUGAAUGACCUCAAAGGGACCCAACCUCCUGGGUCUUAAUUUCUUACAACCUCCUUUGAACGGCAACCCUUGGGUUGACAGCCACACCCUAUCUCCCACCCUUAUGGUUUCACCUUCCCUUCGGUUCUUGUCUGCCUGCCUCUUGUAUUCUUCCUUCGCCCUUUCUAAGUUGAGUUGGAGCUGACGAUGGAUUGCUUCCAUUUCUUCCGCAAAAUGCUCGGCUGCCGGGACGCUCCAUCUCUCCCCAUCUCCCCUGGGAAAGCCCUGGGAUGACACCCAUAAUUAGCCAAGAAGGGGCUCAUCCCUGUGGACACAUUCUCGGCAUUGUUGUAGGCAAAUUCCGCCAGCGCCAACUUUUCUACCCAGUCAUUCUCUCUGUCAUUGACAUAACACCUCAGGUAUUGCUGGAGGACACCGUUUGCUCUUUCCGCCUGCCCGUUGGUUUCAGGGUGCCGGGCAGUCGAAAAAUUGACCUCCACCUGCAGUAAGCUCAUGAGCUUCCUCCAGAACCUGGAAGUAAAUUGUUUUCCUCGGUCUGAGACCACCCUCAAUGGCACCCCGUGCAACCUAAAAAUGUGUUCUACAAAUAACUUCGCUGUCUCUUCCGCCGUGACUGCAUGCGAGCAAGCUACAAAGUGGCACAUCUUUGUUAGUAGGUCUACCACCACCAUGAUGGCUGUUUUCCCUUUGGACUUCGGCAGAUCAGUCAUAAAAUCUAUCGACACUGCCUCCCAAGGUCGUUCUGGGGUUGGUAAGGGUUCUAACAGCCCCGCCGGCGCCCGCCUUUCCCCUUUGGCUCGCUGGCAUUGCUCGCACCCUCUUACAUACUCACGUACAUCUUCCCUCACCUUAGGCCACCAAAAUUCCCUGGUGACCAACCACAUGGUUUUGUGUUGUCCAAAAUGCCCCGCCGUAGGGCUGUCGUGCAACUGCUUGAGUACCCUCCCCUUAAGUCUCCUUCAGGGAUAUACAGUGCCCCUUUGUAAUACAAAGCUCCAUUUCUUUCCUCGAAACCCCUGGUUCCUCUCCCUCACCCCUAAGACCUCUGAGCUUAUUCUGGGCGUAUUCAUCAUUCUCUGUUUCCUCUACCAGUUCUCUUUGUCCCACCAAUGCCGCCCCACACACCCAGCGGUCCUCUGGAAUGACAUGUCUCUCUUCGGGUGCUCCCUCCCUCCAAAUAGUCAGGUUUGCGUGAGAGAGCGUCCGCCCUAAUGUUCUCUGGGCCUGGCACGUAACCAAUCUCAAAGUUAAAUUUGGAGAACUCCUGGGCCCAUCUCACUUGCCGUUGGUUGAGCACUCGUGCCGUCCUCCAAUACUCUAGGUUCUUGUGGUCAGUGCACACUUGCACCUUAUGUUGUGCGCCAAUUAGCAGGUGCCUCCAUCUCCGGAACGCCUCAUGAAUGGCUAGUAGUUCUCGGUCAUACACCGUGUAGUUCCUCUCGGAUUUGUUCAGCUUUCGAGAAAAAAAAGCACACGGUCUCCACUCUGACUCCUCCUUCCCUGGCUGCCGAAGCACCGCCCCCAGCGCUCUGUCUGAUGCGUCAGUGUCCCCUCUCACCGGUUGUUGUAAAUCCACAGGCCGGAGUUGUUGUUCCGAGGCGAAGGCCCUUUUAGUUCCUCAAAUGCUCGCUCCGCCUCCUCAGUCCAAACGAACUUCUUCUUACUGCUGAGACAGUCCGUAAUGGGCGCCGUCAGGUGGGCAAAGUUUCGGAUGAACUUACGAUAGAAGUUCCCAAAUCCUAGGAACCUCUGCACAUCCUUCCUUGUUUUGGGUGUUUUCCAUUCCAGCACCGCCUGGACCUUGCCGGGAUCCAUGGCCAAUCCCUUGUCUGACAGGCGAUACCCCAGGAAUUCCACCUCCUUGGUAUGAAACUGACACUUCUCCAGUUUCACCCACAGCUGGUUGGCUUGCAGCCUGCUCAACACUUCUCUGACGUCUCUCACAUGCUGCUCCUCAUUCUCAGAAUACACCAACACGUCGUCUAAGAAGGCCACACAAUUCUUGUAAAGCAAAGGCCCCAGGACGUGGUUCAUAAACGAUUGAAAGCAUGCGGAGCCUGCUUGUAGGCCGAAGGGCAUAACCAAAUAUUCAAAUGCCCCUAAAGGGGUGAACAUGGUGGUUUUCCAUUCAUCCCCCUUCCUUAUUCGUAUCAGGUUGUACGCCCCCCUUAGGUCCAGCUUUGUGAAAAUCUUCCCUUCCGCACCCUUGUCAAAAUGUCGUCAAUCCUGGGCAUAGGGAAGGCCACUGGUUCUGACACUGCAUUUAAGGCCCUGAAGUCACACACCAGCCUCGGCUUGUUCGUGUUUUUUUAUCCACAAAAACACUGGGCUGCCCCCACCGCCCUGGACUCUCUGAUGAACCCUCUCUUCAGGUUCUUGUCAAUGAACUCUCUUAGCUCCUGCAUCUCUCUGUCUGACAUGGCGUACAGCUUGCCUACAGGGAGCUGUGCCCCAGGGAGUAAAUUGAUUUGACAGUCAAAGGGUCUAUGCGGGGUAGUUGGUCAGCUUCCCUUUCGCUGAAGACGUCGCGGAGAUCUGCGUAUUGUCGUGGUACCUUCACGUUCUCCGUUACUUCAGUCCCUGCUAGGGUGGCUUGGGCCCCUGCCAAACCCUUUCCCUCUUUGCAGUGUUCUAAGCAAUGUGCUGAACCAAAAGAAACCACUCUCUGAUGCCAGCCCACCAGCGGAUCAUGUAACGCUAGCCAGCUCAUCCCCAAUAUAAUGGGAGCUCCUCCCAAGGUGGCCACAUUAAACGCUAUCAGUUCGGUGUGCCUUGCCACCUUCAUUAUCAUUGGGACGGUCUGCAAGCUGACUUCUCCUCCCAACAGCUCCCUGCCAUCGAUCGUGGUCACCUGCAGGGGUUGCUUAAAGGAUCGUCUGUAUCUGGUGUUCAGCUGCAAACUCUUUGCUCAUGAAAUUGCAGGAGCUGCCUGAGUCCAACAGCGCCUUUAUCUUUAGAGGGUGUCCGUUUGGCAGCUCUAGCGCCACUUCUAUCACUAGGGCGGGUUUAGGAGGUUCUGGCAUGGGCACUCUCACUGCUCUUUGGCCUGGCUGCUGUGCCCGACGGUGGCAGCCAGGCGUUGGCUUUACUUGCUCCGGUAUUUCUUCCUCUCUUCCCUCCACAGCUCCUACCAUCCCUUGCCAUUCCUUCCUCUGGGGGCAGACUCUGGCAAAGUGACCUGGCUGUUGGCAGAGAUAGCAUUUCCGGGCGCGUUUCCCUCCUUCUUUCCCCCUCACUGGGCUUUGAAACUGCGCGGCGCGCGCUGUUCCGAUUUCCAUCGGCUCUGCCGGCGGGAAAGUUGGCUCUGGAAUGUCUGGAAUGCGGAACUCCUUCCAACGUUCCCCUUCCCUUCCCGCCUCUCCAAUGCUCUCGCCUCCUGGCGCGCUCCUAUGGUCAGCGCUGAUUUGGUCAGCUGGUCCAUAGACUCCGCCCUGGGCGCCCGGGAAAGUUCGUCUUUCACAGCCGAAGAAAGCCCUUCUUCAAAGAGCAUUUGAAUGGGUUCCGCCGAUAAGUCCCACCCCAAUCUGUGAACCAGCAUGGUGAACUCAGUCCAGUACUCACGGACAGAUCGGCUCCCCUGUUUGCAAGCCAUUAACUGUCUGCGCACCACUCCUGUUCAAUAUCGCUCGAAAACAUCAGAUCCAUGGCGCGAAAGAACUUCAUCGUGUCCUUUAGGACGUCACUAUUCGCUGCCAUCAGGGGUCUAACCCAGUCUCUCGCCCCUUUUCAAGAUGCCCAAUCACGAAAGCCACUCGUGAUUCCUCGUCAGGGAAUUCAUCAAACUGCAGAUUGAGGGCAUAUUGCAUCUCUGUCCGAAAGCCAUGAUAGUCUUUGGGCUCCCCCCCAAACUUCUGCACCAAUCCUGGUACCUUUCUGGCGAGCUGGGUGGCUUUCCCUUUUGUCUGCAUCCUGAGCCCUCCUCUCCUCAAGCCUCGCCGUCUGCAGCGCUAGCUGGACCUCCAACACCCGGUACCUUUCUUCCAGGCUUGGACCCGCUCCAGCUCCUGCUUCUCCGGUUCCGGCUGGGUUGCUCAUGAUGCCUUCUCCUGCACAAGCUGCUUUCAAAGACUGUCGGAAUGCUGUGAUGGGAUGAUGAGCUGCUUGUGCGUAAAAUAGUAUCCCCUCAGAGUUUGUUCAAGUCCACAAACCUCUGUCUGUGACGGAGCCCCUCAGACAUGGCUCCUCUAGUCACUAGCAGAUUCCGACAGUGGUUGCUUUCGGAAUCGCUUCCAACAUAAAAGCUCCUUAACGGAAACACGUCUUCUGGACUCUCUGCGUGACAGUUUCCGGCGAGGAGUGGGUGUUCCUACAGGAGGUCCUGAAACCUCCCCACUGUUUUCGCUGGAAGUGUCUCUGAGCCAUCCCUCCAGCUCACUUUCCCUCAACUCAGCUCCUCUCCCCCUACUGGUUCCCUCUUCAGCUGCUGAGUCUCUCCCAACCUGUGUGAGCCCUUUCACCUCCCUUCCUUCCGAUGGCAGUUCCCUGACAGUUAGUUACAGGUUUUUUAAUGGCUUGUUGUUGUUGUUAAUUGUUUAGUCGUGUCCGACUCUUCGUGACCCCAUGGACCAGAGCACGCCAGGCACUCCUGUCUUCCACUGCCUCCCGCAGUUUGGUUAAACUCAUGCUGGCUUUUUUAAUGGCUUAGGAAGUACUAUAAUAUUUGUUGGUUUCCAUGUGCUAGGGACUUCCCCUCUAGAAAAAGAUACUUGUGAACAACUUAGAAAGAAGAGGUACAAAUUGGAGUUUGGAAUGCUUUAUAGAAAGCUCCCAUAAUUCUGUUCAAGCUGGGAGACUUGGAUAGUUUCAGGUUUUUAAUAGUUGUUUUAUUGUUGUUGUUUUCGUUGUUACUAUUUCUUCUAGCUUAGAUGGUGGAGGAUGCUUUGUGUGAAUGGCAGCAGUAUGAAUUGUUAUCUAAGGAAGUGAUUAAGUGAUAUACUUAAAUCCGUUCAGUGAACAGUGUUUCCAAAUUCACUUUACUUGAGUCUGUAUGCCCCAAUAACAUCAGGGUGAAUUGCCUGUGCCCACAGCUGAUGUGCUGCCUGGACCGGCUCUUCAGGCUCAUAGAGUUCAACAGCAGCAUUUAACUGGACUGCCUCUAGAUUGCCCAGUGACUUGAGGGGAUGCACCAGUGAUGCUGCUGGCUAGACCAUGACAUGCAGGGAACAAGGGAGAAGCUGCGCCAGUCAGUGUCUGAGCAUUCAGUCCUGGAAGUGAAGUUGAAACAUGCCCGCAACCAAGUGGAGGUAGAGAUGAAGAAAAGGCAUCAGGUGGACAAGUAGGAGUACAAGCUGCAGUUUCUAUAUGACUAUCUGGUCACUGAUCUGCAUAUCAGUCUUUUCAAUGAGAACCGGCACUCAGUCCUGGCAGCUUCAACCACAGCACCCUGCUGCCUGGCAAGUGGCUAUCUGCAGUGGAAGAAUAUAGCACCUGAAAUAUUCU